rnacentral:lncRNA from 1 species
GGUCUUUGGCACCUGGGAAGGUCUGAAUGUGGCCUUUGUGUUUGUUGAACUGCACUGUGCCCAGCCAGGCAGAGCUGAUCACUAAGCUUUUCUAUAGCUUCAUAACUGCAAAUUGCUCAGCCAUUUGUCUUUUAAUCCUCAUAAGCCCUUUGUGCUGGAGGCACUGCCCCAUUAUCAGCGCCCUUCAUUUUCCAGUCCAGAAGGCGGACGAUAUGUGACUUGUUCAAGGACACAGGGUAAAUACUCAGAAACAGAAUUGCUGGAUCAUGCAGUAGGUCUACUUUUGAUUUUUUGAGGAACCUCUGUACUGUUUUCCACAGUGGCUGCACCAAUUUACAUCCCCAGCAAAAGUGCACGAGUGUUCCUUUUUCUCCACAUCCUCACCAACACGUCUUUUUGAUAACGGCCAUCCUAACAGCUAACAAGGUCAACCUUGCAGGGAAAUGAACAAGCAACCCAGGUGAUCUCAGGAGCUGAGGGAAAGUGCUCUUUUCCUGUCUCUGCAAACUCCCCCCACCCUUGCCUACUGAUGUCUAGGGUUCCACUAACAGAAACCAAGAAGUGCCACAAGCUCUACCUGCUUCGUACUCAAUAACAGAACCAUGGCUGUGGACUGAGAUACUGGCUCCAGGAAGCUUCUGCUGAAAGGCUUUUCCUCCACGACAGAGGUAACAGGUUAAUUUACUGUGCCGUAUUAACUAACUGCCACCUACAAGAAAACUGAGCUGUGAGGGAAGGAAACACAAGACAGUUAAUCUUUGAAGCCAUGAGUGUGAGGGUAGGAUGGAAGAUGCUAGACAUAGUUCAUUGCAGGCAGGACAAGCCCUGGGCAGUGUCAUUGUUGGAGGUCCUGGUAAUUGAGGAACAGCACCGAGCACUGUGUCACUUGUGGGGAAUAGAAGACAGAGGAAGGGAGCAUGGAAAAUAAGGGACAUGCUGAAACCAUAUGUUGCCUGCGACGCAGUGUGGCUGCGGCCUGGUCCCAUAUGCUUGGCUGCAGUGCAUUUAUCUCUGAGCGUGUCCGUUCUCCUCAUAAAUGCACCUUUGUUUUCUGCCCAGCACAAAAACAUCACGACCCGUGUCUGAGAAUGUUGGGAAUUUUAUUAAGUCCAUAAAGUUUUAGCUGUGGUCUCGUCCACCAAGGCCAAAAUAAAUAAAUAGAGAGAGUGUAAGGGUAACAAUUUAAAAAAAAAAAAAAUCUGGCUCAAAGAAAGAAAAACUACUGAAGCUCUAAAAUAACUUUGUCACAGUGGCUUUACAGGGAUUUCUUCUUACCAACUGAGAAUUCUGUAAAGUGCAAGCUGGGAAACUGCAGUCAAAAUGCAGCCAACAAAUUCACUUUUCAGAUUUCUCUGAGAAUAUUCUUUUCUG